ACAACAAUCACAUGACCAGACCAGGAAGAAAGAACAUGUAUGUUAUUGUAAAAAAAACGUGCAUGUAAAGCAUGGAAGACGACGAAAAUAACGAUUCUGGUGAUUAUACAAGGUUUGGAAUACCGGAUGUUCCAAAGACAACCGUGACAACCGCCAUAGGAAAAACUCGGACAUGGGCAGGCCUGCAGUGGAGAGAAAAAUUGUUUUUACUUGUGAGCUUGGUCAACAUAUUGGCCACCAUUGGCCUCACCUUGUACCGACUGAUUGUUGUUGCUAAAGAAAAUCCUGCAGAAGAAGAUUUAAUAUUCACUAUUCUUAUCAUUGUUAAUGCAGUAUUUGUUGCCUUCUACUCGUUCCAUGGCGUGCUGAGGGAGCGCAGGUAUGAGCUCUAUGUGCAGAUCCUUGCCAUCGUCAUCAUCCUGGUCUACUGUAUCACAGAGUAUUCAGUGAACACUAGCAAUCGUAACACAGUCAAAUUGGUGCGCCUGAUAAUUGCCUGUGUGGUGGCACCACCAAACAUCUAUCUGGCGUGGACAGUGGCUCAGGAGUUUGGGGAACUGGAAUUCAGGAUUGCAGGGGCCUCCGAACACCUGCAGAAUUGUUACAAAAAUGCUGAAAUAUUUUCCUGUUGGUUGAAGUUUGACCUCCAAGUCUCAGUAAGCCUGGUCAUCCUUGUUUUAAGAUCUGGGACCAACAUUGGAACGUUGGAGACAGUUAUCCUGGCAGUAGGCAUUCCAUACACACUGGCCUGGGAUGUCUUCGGAUGGUUCAUGUUGCGAAUGGAGUUAAAAUGGGCUGUCCCUGUGUUUGUCAUUUCCGGAUUUGCAAAACCUGCUUACUAUGUCUUCAAGUUUGUAAAGGUGUAUCAUGACAUUACCACUCAAGCCACAAUGAUGGUGUACAUAGUCAUCGUAGCAGGUGCCCUCGCUAUGCUAGCCUGGCUGUUCCUGAUGUACGAGCUCAUCUUUGUCUACAGGAACUUUGAUCAGGGCUUGAAAGAGCGAGGUAAGUAACCAUGGCUAGCCUGGCUGUUCCUGAUGUAUGAGCUCAUCUUUGUCUACAGGAACUUUGAUCAGGGCUUGAAAGAGCGAGGCAAGAUGAACCUGCGGGGGAUACAUUGAGACAUGUGGCUUUUAUGAACGGGCAUCAUUUACUGGCAUCUUAUACAUAUAAAGAAUCAUUCACAGAACUUGAAUCAUCUUACAAAUAUAAAGUAAAAACAGACAAGUUCCACACCAUCUGUAAAGAAAGGCCUUGGGCCCAAAAUGCAGGUCAAUCAAUAUACGGCAGUAGCCAUUUAUAACAAUAAGGAGAGCUUUGUCACAUCAAAUGCAAUCAAAAUGUUAUAGUGAUAAACAAUGGUGUUAAAGAAGAAGAAAAAGUAACAAUGAACAGAAAAUAUCUUGUUGAUGAUAUGUGUUUGGGUUUGGGGUGUAAAUGUUUUUAAUUACGCAAUCAUUUUGCCAAAAAUCAUGGCCUGUUGCGUCACAGGGAAGCAACAAAAAUUUCCAAUAAAAAUGUGAUUUGGCUCAAAUGACAAGCACAGUAUUUAUGCCUAUUUAAAAUGAAAUGAAAAUAGACUGCUGUCAGUGAUUUGCUUUUAUCAUGCUACUAUAUUGGGUAAUAUCCAUGCUACUAUAUUGGGUAAUAUUCAUGCUACUAUAUAGGGCAAUAUCCAUGCUACUAUAUUGGGUAAUAUCCAUGCUACUAUAUUGGGUAAUAUCCAUGCUACUAUAUUGGGCAAUAUCCAUUCUACUAUAUUGGGUCAUAUCCAUGCUACUAUACUGGAUAAUAUCCAUGCUACUAUAUUGGGUCAUAUCCAUGCUACUAUAUUGGGUAAUAUCCAUGCUACUAUAUUGGGUCAUAUCCAUGCUACUAUAUUGGGUAAUAUCCAUGCUACUAUAUUGGGUAAUAUCCAUGCUACUAUACUGGAUAAUAUCCAUGCUACUAUAUUGGGUCAUAUCCAUGCUACUAUAUUGGGUAAUAUCCAUGCUACUAUAUUGGGUCAUAUCCAUGCUACUAUAUUGGGUAAUAUCCAUGCUACUAUAUUGGGUAAUAUCCAUGCUACUAUAUUGGGUCAUAUCCAUGCUACUAUAUUGGGUAAUAUCCAUGCUACUAUAUUGGGUAAUAUCCAUGCUACUAUAUUGGGUAGUAUCCAUGCUACUAUAUUGGGUAAUAUCCAUUUGACAUGAUGCGGCUCAAACACAAGGAUUCCAAGCUAAGUGGUUUAAGAUCAAAAUCUAACAAGAUAACACUCUGUCAUUCUGGAUUUACAUAAGCAUUGCUUAUUUUUAAUGCAAUGCGAAGGAUAAACAUAUUAUAUCAAUUACAAAUGCUUUAUAUUUUUGUCUAUUGGGAAUGAUGAUUAUCCACUACCAAAAUAAUUUAUCUUAAAUGGCAUUAAUUUCUUAGCAAUAAUUAUAAUGCUUAUUUAAAAAAAAUACUUUUGUUUACUUUCUUUUUGAAAUCAAUGACAAUAUUGCCAUUUGCUGUGAACAUGUCCCUUGGAAAAAUUAUUUUUCAUCGGUCUUGAAAUGUUAGUAAUUAUAAAUGAGGCUAAAAUACUUUGUUAUCAAUCUCAAGAAAUUGCUGUUCAACAAAUGCAUUGAAUUAGGCAUUUCUUUAUAUAACACUGUAUCAUGAUGUGAAUUGGGAAUAAGACAUCAAUUUGGGAAUAAAUUGUGUUUAAUCAAAAGUGCAUAAUAUGCAGUUUUAUAUGUUGUAUUUAUCUAGUUUCACAAAUUAUAAUUAAAACAGAUACUUGCAUAUAUAAUAGCAUCAUUUAAAUUGAUUUUACUUCAAAACUGUUUUUCUUUAUUAAUUAAAAAAAAACAAACUCAUGAAAUGAAACUGUGUCCAUGCCGCUCAUGGACACAGUUUAAAAAUACAAUCACUGUUAAUGAAAAAGUCAUGGAAAAUUGCUUAAUAAGCUUAUAUUAUAGAUAAUAUAUUACAAAAAUAAAUGUAGAUCAUGAAAUGAAAAGUUUUGUUUGAGAAAAUCACCAAAAUGAUGUCCAUUCCCAGUUAGAUGUCUUAUUCCCAAUUCACAUAAUACAUGUACAGUGUUAAUUAAGCAUAAUAGUAAUACAAAUAAUAAUAAAGCCCUUCAAGAAAAAAGCGUAGGGCAUUUGGGUAUUUAGUUUGAGAGUUGAUAUUUUUGCCUUGUCUGUUGGUUUGUGUGUUUGUUUGUUUGCCCCAACUUUAACAUUUGCAAUAACUUUUUCAAUAUUUAAGAUAGCAUCUUGAUAUUUGGCAUGCAUGUGUAUCUCAUGAAGCUGCACAUUUUGAGUGGUGAAAGGUCAAGGUCAUCCUUCAAGGUCAAAGGUCAAAUAUAUAGCUUCAAAGGGGCGCAAAAGGGGACAAAGUGUUUCUGACAAACACAAAUCUUAUUUAUUCUUACAGCUUAUUAAAUGCAAGAGUAUAAUUAUUACAAUUAUUUUGUUAUUUGCCUCUUUUUAUUUCUCUAUAACUUUAAAUGUAUUUGAAAGUGUUUUGAAAUAGUUGAAUACCAUUGAAAAAAAUAUAAGCACUUACACAUGCCUACGGUAACCUUGAUGCUAAACUUUAGGAAUUAUUUGAUCUUGUUAUCCCCCGCCAUAGGCGGAGGGAUAUUGUUUUGGCGUUGUCCGUCUGUCUGUCUUUCCGUCCGUCCGGAGCCAUAUCUUGCAAGUGCUUUGGCGGAUUUCAUUGAAACUUGGUAUGAGUAUAUUUAUAUGUAUAACAGGAUGAUGCACGCCAAAUGGCAUUGUACACCAUCAGUUAAUAACAGAGUUAUGGCCCUUUGUAUCUUGAAAAAAUGCUUUUUUGAGUGUAAAAUAUAAUACUUUUGUGUCAAGAAGCAUAUUGGCGGGGGAUAUCAAUUCAACGAAUUUGCUUGUUUAAAUGCAUAGUGACUGUGGAAGGGAAAUUGAUAGGUGUGUUUUUACCCACUACAGCUUUAACUUUUCUUUUUUUUAAUCAAACAAGUAGGUAUUCGUCAUUCAGCCAAUUGAGGAGAUGAGUGUUAAUUGUUCACUUUUAAUGUUCUUAUAUAAUUGUGUUUGAGUAUUUUUAUAGCUUUAUAAGUUUUUUUGCAAUUUCGGCCUUCAUUUUUAUGCCCCUUCGAAGAAGAGGGGGUACAAUGUUUUGCUCAUGUCGGUCCGUCCGUCCAUAUGUAUGUCUGUAUGUCCGUCCACCAGAUGGUUUCCGGAUGAUAACUCAAAAACGCUUAGGCCUAGGAUCAUGAAACUUCAUAGGUACAUUGAUCAUGACUCGCAGAUGACCCCUAUUGAUUUUGAGGUCACUAGGUCAAAGGUCAAGGUCACGGUGACCUGAAAUAGUAAAAUGGUUUCCGGAUGAUAACUCAAAAUGCUUACGCCUACGAUCAUGAAACUUCAUAGGUACAUUGAUCAUGACUCGCAGAUGAUCCCUAUUGCUUUUCAGGUCACUAGGUCAAAGGUCAAGGUCAGGGUGACCCAAAAUAGUAAAAUUGUUUCCGGAUGAUAACUCAAAAUUGCUUAUGCUUAAGGAUCAUGAAACUUCACAGGUACAUUGAUCAUGACUCGCAGAUGACUCCUAUUGAUUUUUCAGGUCACUAUGUAAAAGAUCAAGGUCAUUUGAAAAAAAAGUUAUGAGCUAUUGUCAUCACCUUGGCGUUGGCGUCUGGUUAAGUUUUGUAUUUAGGUCCACUUUUCUCAUAAAGUAUCAAAGCUAUUGCAUUCAAACUUGGUACACUUACUAACUAUCAUGAGGGGACUGGGCAGGCAAAGUUAGAUUACUCUGGUGUGCAUUUUGACAGAAUUAUGUGCCCUUUUUAUACUUAGAAAAUUGAAAAUUUGGUUAAGAAAAAAGUAUACUUUUUGUGAUUGGGAAUAUAGCCGAAUUUCGGCUAUAAAAUCGGGCCAAAACAAAACCCUGCCUAGGAUCAUGAAACUUCAUAGGUACAUUGAUCAUGACUGGCACAUGACCCCUAUUGAUUUUCAGGUCACUAGGUCAAAGGUCAAGGUCACAGUGACACGAAACAGUAAAAUGGUUUCCGGAUGAUAACUCAAGAAUUCUUAGGCCUAGGACCAUGAAACUUCAUAGGUACAUUUAUCAUGACAUGCAGAUGACCCCUUUUGAUUUUCAGGUCACUAGGUCAAAGGUCAAGGUCACAGUGACAAAAAACGUAUUCACACAAUGGCUGCCACUACAACUGACAGCCCAUAUGGGGGGCAUGCAUGUUUUACAAACAGCCCUUGUUUUUGGAAGCAUGCAUCAAUACAGUGCAUUUGUGUUCUGUUGACCAAGAUGUUUCAUUAAAUUGAAUGGAUUGCAGAUAAAGGUGUAAACAAUCUUAUUUUGUUCCUAUACUUGAUAUUUUACUAUUGUUUUUAGCUCACCUGAGCAGAACGUGCUCAUGGUGAGGUUUUGUGAUCGCCUUUUGUCUGUUGUCCAUUGUGCGUCGUGUGUCAUGCGUUGUCCGUUGUGCGACGUCAACAUUUGCCUUGUUCACCCUCUAGAGGCCAUAUUUAUUGUCCAAUCUUCAUGAAAUUUGGUCAAAAGAUUGGUUGCAAUGAUAUCUUGGAUGAGUUCGAAAAUAGUUACGUUUGCUUGAAACACAUUGCUGCCAAGGGGCGGGCAUUUUUCCUUAAAUGGCUUUAUAUGGCUAUAGCAAAAUCUUGUUAACACUCUAGAGGCCACAUUUAUUGUCCGAUCCUCAUGAAACUUGGUCAGAAGAUUCAUCCCAAUGAUUUCUUGGACGAAUUCAAAAAUGAUGUCGGUUAUUUGAAAAGCAUGGCCGCCAGGGGGCGGGGCAUUUUUCCUUAUAUGGCUAUAGUAAAACCUUGUUAACGCUCUAGAGGCCACAUUCAUUUUCCGAUCUUCAUGAAACUUGCUCAGAAGAUUUGUCCCACUGAUAUCUUUUAUGAGUUCAGAAAUGGUAACCUUUGCUUGAAAAACAUGGCUGCCAAGGGGCGGGGCAUUUUUCCUAAUAUGGUUAUAGUAAAAUCUUGUUGACACUCUAGAGGCCACAUUUAUUGUCCAAUCUUAAUGAAACCUGGUCAGAUGAUUCAUCCCAUUAAUAUCUUGGACGAGUUCGAAAAUGAUGCCGGUUGGUUGAAAAACAUGGCUGCCAGGGGGCGGGGCAUUUUUCCUAUGGCUAUAGUAAAACCUUGUUAAGACUCUAGAGGCCACAUUUAUUGUCCGAUUUGUUAAACUUGGUCAGAAGAUUUGUCCCAAAUAAUAUCUUGUUAUCUCAGGUGAGCGACUUUGGGCCUUUCAGGCCCUCUUGUUUGUGUUAGUCAUAUGCUGUACUUUUCUGUAUCAGAAGUAACAGUGUGUUUUACAUGCUUUGAUAUGUGCUUUGAAAAUUGUAAUCAAGAAAUAACAUAAUAAUGUAUUGAUUUUUUGUGCUAUAUGAAUAAUAUAGAUUGCUUUAAUCAUCAUAGUUAGGUUUUGUGCAAAACAUAUAAGUAUAUACUGUUAUCUAUUGUACUUGUAAAGUAUUUAAGUUAAUUGAGUAUUUGAGUCGUGUUCUGAGAAAACUUGGCUUAAUGCAUGUGAGUAAAGUGUCAUCCCAGAUUAGCCUGUGCAGUCCGCACAGGCUAAUCAGGGAUGACACUUCCCGCCUAAACUUGAUUUUCGGUAAAGAGGGGCUUCCAUGAAACUAAAAAUACCAUUAAAGCGGAAAGUGUCGUCCCUGAUUAGCUUGUGCGGACUGCACAGGCUAAUCUGGGACGGCACUUUAUGCACAUGCAUUAAGCCCUUUUUUCUCAGAACACGACUCAUUUUAAAAGGUUAAGAGUACUCCCCUUCAUAAGUUGUAAAACUUUCAGGAUUUCUCUGGAAUCCUGACUGUUGACUUAGGUGCUUUAUAUAUUGCUUGUUAAAAAGUGUGUAUUUUCUAUAAUAUAGCUAUUAAGCAACAUUCAGUGAAAUUAGUUUUGACAGCAUAAAAAUAUUGCUGUAUUUUUUAUCAAGUCUAGCAAGUUAUGCUGGAACUAAAAAACAUGUAUAAUCAUUAUGUUAUAUUAAAUAAAUGCCACGCUUAUUGACAUGAAAUAACAAUAUGAUUACAUGAUUUACCAACAAAAAGACCAUGACAGUACUGGGGUAUAUGAUCUAGUAUCCUAGUUAUCAAAAUCCAAUAAAAAUGUGCAAUAUGUUGAUUAUUACGUAGGAAUUCUCUUUUGUAAUAAAAAUCGAAUUGGGUUUCAGAAGUCAUUUAAAUAUUAAACCAUUUAUGCCUAGUGGACUCUCCCAUCCUUCUAAAAUCGGAUCAAUUUAUUUCCAAAAUUAGGGAUGUCUAGUAUAUUUAUUUCUAUAUUUAGAAUAUUUCUUACAGAAAUUCCUUUAAGCAAACAGCUCAGACCCUGAUGAGACGCCGCAUCAUGCAGCGUCUCAUCUGGGUCUACGCUGUUUGCCAAGGCCUUUUCUCUAGACGCUAGGCAUAAAUGGGUUAAUGCACUCAAUGCUUUGACAGCCACAGUCGAAACAACUGGUUCACCGGUGAAAACAUUAUAAGUUGUACAUUAUGGUCUGUUAAGCCUUUGCAUAUUCACUCACUAAUUUUAAACCAAAUCUACAACAACCAUUCCAUGAACCUUCACAUUUGCAUGUUUGUAAAUAUAAGCUUUUAUACUUUUAUAUGUUUGAUACCGGUUAUAUACAAAAGCAUGUUUCUAUCAGUUGGUGAGCCUAGAAAAUGGAAACUAUUAACUAUUUGACGGUCUUCAUGCCAUGCUUUAUGCUUUAUCCCAUCAUCAGACGUGCAUUGUUGAAAUAAACCACUGUGGAAUAAAUUUUCCUCUAUUUCGGCAGUGCUGAAAUAUAGCUGUCACGCGUGGCGGAGAAUGGUCAUAUUACUCGGAAUCAACUAUAAAGGAAUCGUUUUUAGUAAAAUCGAAUCAGAUUCAACAAAACAAACAAUUUGAUACCAAGAUGUAAUAUAUUUUCAACAUAAUGCAACUCAAAAAGCAAAAAAACAUUAUUUACAUUAUUACGUGCGCGUACUUGUGACGUCAUUAUUAACACGUCAUACGACACAAUGCAUGUUCUUUCAUGCUAAAGCUGCAGUUGUUUAGUGUGUUUUUUCAUUAUUUCUUAAAAAUCUGGGACGUAGAGGUAUGAUAAACAGAAAAACAGGUUAGUUACUGAUCUUUUUGUAAUGUAUUAGGCUCUGCACGAUUAAAAUAAUGAAACAAUGAUUGCUUUAAAUAACUUUGGGAUUUUCCGUGUAGUUCAAUUUUCCUAUUCUAUUUUUAAAGAAAUAAUUUACGACUAAGAAAAUUGAUGGGAUAAAUCGAAAACUAGGUCGGUGCCGAAUAAAGCAAAGUUUAUUUUGCUCGGCAAGAAAAUCUGAACCACUCGCCAAGGCUCGUGGUUCAGAUUUUCUACGCCUCGCAAAAUAAACUUUGCUUUAUUCAGCACUGACCUAGUAUUCUCUAUUUAUACGGCCAUCGUAGCUCAAGAUCAGCCUCAGCAUUCAUAGAGUCUAGUCAUGUAGUGAAUUUGCUGGCUUGUCUUUAGCUUUGCUGGCCGGACUGAAUCUAAGCUGGCAGCAUUAAGCAUAAGACCCUUUUUUGCAUGAUGCAUGUCAUUUCUUCUAUAAACAUGGUCACAGUUUUUAUAUGUGCAUAUCAUUUUUGAGAUAAUUAUUGUUCAUCGCAUAUGAGAAUUGUUAAGAUUACCAGUGCAUAGUUGUUAAAAAACAAACUCUAAUGGUAACAUAUUGUUUUAUCAUAAUGAAAUAAUGGCUUAUCAAGAAACCACAGCUUCCUGCCAUAUUUAUGUAUACCACUGUUAUGUUUGUGUUGAGUUAAAAUGAUGUUUCUGUUUUACAAGUAUUCAUGUAUUGUUACAUGUUUAAAGUGAAUGCUUGAAAAAUUAUUUUAUCACAUGCUAUACCCUGUUUCUCAUGUAAUACAACCAUUACAUAUUUUUUUAUAUUACACAUGCGUAAUACAACAUUUUAAAGCUUUU